CUUUAAUCUCAAGGACGACGUGCAAUGGACCUGAGCCCUAGGACCAUGCCUCAGAACUACCUGGCAUGAUGACUCCUUGCUGUCCCCAGUCCACCUGGCUGUGCUGCCUGGCCGUGCUGUCCAUCGAAUGGACUCAAGCUUCUGACUGAGCUCAAUUACACACAAAUACAGCAAUGAGUUUCUCUCUCUUGAUGUAAUACAAACUUUGAGAAAUAACAAGGAGCACCCACAAUGUGUUUUGUGUAAAGAAGUGCUUUGUAAUGAGUCUCUCAAAACAAACAAAUUAAAAUGACAUGUCCUGACCAAACAUCCACAGCAUAACGGUAAACCCAGGGAGUUAUUUCAGAACAGGGAAGAAUGCUUCAGGAAACAGGGAUUCAGGAAACAGGGCAUCAUGAAACAGUGCUUCAGGAAACAGUGCUUCAGGAAACAGUGCUUCCACAGUGGACAAGUGAGUGUGACCUCUGACCUUGGAUUCUGGCUCAGCCUCUGAUCUGGGGUCAGCUCUAUGGGGGUCGGCG
ensembl:lncRNA